rnacentral:rRNA from 1 species
GACGAACGCUGGCGGCGUGCUUAACACAUGCAAGUCGAGCGAUGAAAUCCCUUCGGGGAUGGAUUAGCGGCGGACGGGUGAGUAACACGUGGGUAACCUGCCUCAAAGAGGGGGAUAGCCUCCCGAAAGGGAGAUUAAUACCGCAUAACAUUAGUUUUUCGCAUGGAGAACUAAUUAAAGGAGUAAUCCGCUUUGAGAUGGACCCGCGGCGCAUUAGCUAGUUGGUGAGGUAACGGCUCACCAAGGCAACGAUGCGUAGCCGACCUGAGAGGGUGAUCGGCCACAUUGGAACUGAGACACGGUCCAGACUCCUACGGGAGGCAGCAGUGGGGAAUAUUGCAUAAUGGGCGAAAGCCUGAUGCAGCAACGCCGCGUGAGUGAUGAAGGCCUUCGGGUUGUAAAGCUCUGUCUUUUGGGACGAUAAUGACGGUACCAAAGGAGGAAGCCACGGCUAACUACGUGCCAGCCGCCGCCGUAAAAC